AGUGAACGCUGGCGGUAGGCCUAACACAUGCAAGUCGAACGGCAGCACAGUAAGAGCUUGCUCUUACGGGUGGCGAGUGGCGGACGGGUGAGGAAUACAUCGGAAUCUACUUUUUCGUGGGGGGUAACGUAGGGAAACUUACGCUAAUACCGCAUACGACCUACGGGUGAAAGCAGGGGAUCUUCGGACCUUGCACGAUUGAAUGAGCCGAUGUCGGAUUAGCUGGUUGGCGGGGUAAAGGCCCACCAAGGCGACGAUCCGUAGCUGGUCUGAGAGGAUGAUCAGCCACACUGGAACUGAGACACGGUCCAGACUCCUACGGGAGGCAGCAGUGGGGAAUAUUGGACAAUGGGCGCAAGCCUGAUCCAGCCAUACCGCGUGGGUGAAGAAGGCCUUCGGGUUGUAAAGCCCUUUUGUUGGGAAAGAAAAGCAGCAGGUUAAUACCCCGCUGUUCUGACGGUACCCAAAGAAUAAGCACCGGCUAACUUCGUG
rnacentral:rRNA from 1 species